rnacentral:tRNA from 1 species
UGGACCUUGUGUGUCUCGAACUUACGGACGGUUAUGAGCCAUCUGCCCUAACCAGCUGAGCUAAAGGUCC